rnacentral:lncRNA from 1 species
UCAACUUGAGUUAUUAUUUUCAAAGCAUAAUAGUGAAUAAUUAUUGAUUAUUAUUCACGUCUUUAUUGAUUAUUGAAAUUCGCACUUUGUGCAAUUGAAUUCAUGUUCUACUGUUAUUGAACUGUGAAUUAAAUUAAAGUUCUUCAUUUAUGAACUGUUUAUGAUAGAUCUAUGCUAAUUGUAUCAGCUAGAUCAAGCAUGUCUAAAUUU